UCAACCCAUUUAACCAUUCAACCCAUCAAGUUAAAUGAGUUCAUGAGUUGACCCAACCCACUUAACCAAUUGAGUUGGGUCAACUCAUGAACUCAUUUAACUCUAAACUCAUUGGGUAAUGAGU